rnacentral:lncRNA from 1 species
GCUGAGGAUACCGUUGGCUCAGUGGAUGGGCUCGGGGGGCAGGGGUGGGGUCGAGCUCACAGGGCCCAGCACCCGGACCUGCAGGUGGCCCUGGAGGAAUCCACCCGCCCGUGCCUUCCAAGAGACCAGUGUGCGAGGCGCCGCGGACACGCCUUUUCUAGCUGGAACAUUUGUGAGGCUGGAAUUUAAGCUCUGGCAGACAGGCGGCAGAAGAAGGACUGGAAGAAACCCAAGUGCAAAGUCCAGCCCAAGGAGAGGAAGCGGAAAUGCCUGGCCUGGUCAAACUGUGCUCUGACUAGAAGAUUCUGGGCUGGAUGGUCACCGUCCUAUAGAGACGCAGGCUCAGUGGGACUUCGAGGAGCACCAGGGACCCAGUGCAGCAAAGCAGAGCGGGCGGUGAGGACCCACAGCUACUGCUUCCCUGCACAGUUCGCCUUCUCCAAGGCCCAGCCCCCAGCUG